rnacentral:rRNA from 1 species
GCAUAUCAAUAAGCGGAGGAAAAGAAAAUAACAAUGAUUCCCCUAGUAACUGCGAGUGAAGAGGGACAAGCUCAAAUUUUAAAUCUGUCAGGUUCUCCUGACCGAGUUGUAAUUUGAAGAAGCGUUUUCUGCGUGUUUGAUCAGCCCAAGUCCUAUUGAAUGAGGCAUCAUGGAGGGUGAUAAUCCCGUCCGGUUGAUCAUUGCGUUUUACGAUACGCUUUCAAAGAGUCAAGUUGUUUGGGAUUGCAGCUUAAAAUGGGAGGUAAAUUUCUCCUAAGGCUAAAUAACGGCGAGAGACCGAUAGCGAACAAGUACCGUGAGGGAAAGAUGAAAAGAACUUUGAAAAGAGAGUUAAAUAGUACGUGAAAUUGUUGAAAGGGAAACGAUUGAAGCCAGUCGUACUUGCGGGUAAUCAGCCUUUUGAGUAUGAUUCUGUGGAGCGUGAGGAGUUAAACGCCUUCAUGCCUGCAUAUUCGUGUACUUUGGGUGUACUUGCCUGUGUGGUUAGUUAACAUCAAUUUUGGUUGUCAUAAAAUGGCUGGAGGAAUGUAGCUUCGAUUUCGAUUGAAGUGUUAUAGCCUUCGGCAGAUGUGAUGAUCGGGAUUGAGGAUUGCAACGGAUACCCUUCGGGGCUACCUGUCUGAUCUCUGAUCGUUGCUCUGGUGCCGAAAGCGUGCUUACGGUUAUCAAAGUCGAUGGUUAAUAGGUUAGAACGGGUUAAAUUCGUUAAGGAUGUUGACGUA